CCAAUAGCGUAUAUUAAAGUUGUUGCAGUUAAAAAGCUCGUAGUUGAACCUCGGGGUCUACCCAUUGGUCAGGCUUAAUUGUCUGCACUGGUGAGAUGGAUCUCUACCUUCUGAGGAACUUUCAUGCCAUUUAUUUGGUGUGAUGGGAAAUCAGGACUGUUACUUUGAAAAAAUUAGAGUGUUUAAAGCAGACUAUCGUCUGAAUACAUUAGCAUGGAAUAAUGAAAUAGGACGGACUGAUUCUAUUUCGUUGGUUUCUAGGAUCACCGUAAUGAUUAAUAGGGAUAGUUGGGGGCAUUAGUAUUCAAUUGUCAGGGGUGAAAUUCUUGGAUUUAUUGAAGACUAACUACUGCGAAAGCAUUUGCCAAGGAUGUUUUCAUUAAUCAAGAACGAAAGUUAGGGGAUCGAAGAAGAUCAGAUACCGUCGUAGUCUUAACCAUAAACUAUGCCGACUAGGGCUCGGACGAAGUUAAUUUUAUAAUGACGCGUUCGGCACCUUAC
rnacentral:rRNA from 1 species